AUGGCAGAGGCGUCACAUAAUCUAAGACUAAUGAUAAGUUAAUAUAACUAAAAACGUGUUAUUCAACAAUCACAAACACCAUAUAAUCAUUGAUAUGAAGUUUUCUUUUAGAUGUUUAUAUUUGUUGAAGGAUUCUCAGGGUCAGUGCUUUCAGGUAGCAUUACAUGUAACGAUAAACUGUUUAAACGUGUGGCGUAUCCUUAGUGGAAAAAUUGUUUUCGCUGUAGUGAAGGAUAAAUAACACAGAGCUUUCAUUUCGUACGGGAUUAAUUCCCUGUAACGGCAUGGCCUGUUCUAUUACUAUACGAAAGAGGAAUUCAAGAACAGCGAGGGCCAAACUGUGCCAGACCAUCAGAGAGUCAAAGUGUGUACACGACUAGAAAAUCCACAGCCACUUCAAGGAUAGCACGACACGUGGGAGAUGUGGCAGAGCAUUCAGGCAAUCAGCAACUACAGGACAUCACCCGCCUUUGACAGUGAUGCCUCCCUUCCAGAUGCACUGAACAACUUCUGUGCCUCAAUCUGAGCGUAGAAUGAUGUGAUGGUCAGGAAGAACACCCUUCCUCCCAACAACCAGGUGCUGUGUCUAACCUCGGCUGAUGUGAGGAAAACUCAACGCAGAGACAACCCAUGGAAAGCUGCUGGACCAGACAACAUUCCUGGCAGAGUGCUCAGAGGAUGUGCAGACCAGCUCGUGGAUGUUCUCACUGACCUCAACAUCUCCUUGAGCAGCGCCAUCAUUCCAACGUGCUUCAGGGAUACCACCAUUGUCCUCAUGCCGAAGA
ensembl:lncRNA